rnacentral:piRNA from 1 species
GUGGUCAUGAGGAAGGCACAGGAAAUGCUC